UGCCCCCGCCGCGACUGGCGAGGGUGGGAUCGACCACCGGGGAGCGGCGAGCAGGUCCCGUCAGCGCACCGCCCGCCUGGGUGCCGGGA
rnacentral:ncRNA from 2 species